GGUCAAACCCGAAGUGGAAGUUGCGGCCGCCAUCUUGAUCCUGCAGCAGCUCCAAAAGUUGCGGUUCUACCUCUGGGACCCUCAGGAGGCUCUCAAGGUAAGAUUGAUGGCUUCCCACACUCCCUUAGCUAGGAGGUAAAAAGGACCUUCGGAUAAUCAUCUAGUCCAUGCUGCUAUGGGUAAUGAGAGUAGGAGUCUUCUCACGGUGGAUUCUCUGUUAAUAAAAGGAGACUCAAACCAGUUAGUGCUGCCAAUGCAGCCUAUUUACUAGUUUCUUCAGGGGUAGAGAGGCAGAACUCCCCCUGGAAGAACCAUGUUAAACAUGGUAGUAGCUCAGAAUAAAAAACAUUUUAAAGGGAUCCCCAAAAAAUCCCUGUCAGCUGGGACAGGAAAAAAAGACUGGAGGGUCUAGAGAGGAGGGGACUUUUAUGGCAACGUUUGUUUAAUUAUUUCUGUCCUGACAGCUGGGGAGGAGGAACUUACCCAUGUGAUGCUGCCGUGUGUGGCCCAGGAAAAGGAUAUAUACUUCUAAUCCAUAUAGCUUGGGUGGUAUGUUCUCCACCAACAUAUCAGAAUCCUCUGGAUAAAAUCUUCUGGAUAAAAUCAGGAAGGUUCAAAUAUGGUUAAAAAUAGUAAUUUGUUGAACAAAACAAACAUAAAAAGGCUAAUACACGGUGCUUUGCCAAGAAAAAUACAGGCUUUUUGAACAACAUGAUGGUCCUCUGGAGUGAAAAUUGUCCUAUCAAUUGUCUCACAGCCUACAUCCAGCUCGUCACCAGUUCCAAGUGACAGCAUGGCAAAUGAGAGGAAGUGUCUGACUAAAACAUUUGUCAAUACCUCGUUGCAAUUCAGGAAACUAUACAUGUCUUUGCUCUACUAUUUCAUUAUGUUUGUUAUGACUAGGAACUUCAUGAUCUUUUUCUUGUUUUCUAAUGGUGGAUUAGCUAGGGUCUGAUCAUUAAUACCUGCAAAGGGCCCAUUCCAGUAUCACCUUCAAAUAUUACAUGGGAAUUGGAGAAAGAUGUCAUGUGAUCAGGGAAGUUUAUAGAUCUAGCGUUCUGUAAAGAUUUGUUCUCAACCUUGGGUAUUCAUCUAGUAAUUUUCUGCUUUGGGAUUAUAUUAAUCAAACUACUUUGAAAGAAAUUGUAUUGCUGCUGACCCUUACAAAUGUCUUAGAUACCUUGACAUCAGGUUUCAGGAUUUUGGAACUAUGGUCUCUUUCCUGUGAAGAUUCUUACUCUUGUUUUCCAUUCUGACAGUGGUUCUGUGAGGCCCACUACUAAAACUGACACUUCUCAUCAAAACACACUACCCAAACCUCAAGGUAUAACAAUAGGACUUGUACCAACCAAGUUCCAAAGCACCAUACUAAGAUUGACGCCCCCAUGUCUAAAACCAGAACCGUUACCCAUAAUGAUGCACCAGCUACUUAUCAUUGAAGGGUAUUCAGAUGCUUGUGUCGAAAUCAUUAUCCACCUACUCGGAUUGACGCAGCUAGUCAAACUUUAUGCUAGCUAAAUCUUUUCGCAGUUUUUCUAAAAAUAGGUCACAACUGCGUUAUUCUUCCCACUCUGGAACUUGUAACCAUGACAUCCUCAUUAAUUGUAGAACACGUGACAGACCGCCUGGCACUGGGACUAGGUACCUGCAUCAAUAGCUGCUUCCUAGUAAUCCUUGAGUACCAUAAGCAUUGCACCGGACACCAUAACCAUCUUAAACCGCUGCAGCUUGGUUUGGGGUCUCGCUGUCCUUCACCCACCCUGGACACAAGACCAGGAUCCAGCUUCUAGUGGGUAGAUCUCUCCUUGUCCAGAGAGCAAAGCAGGCUGCUCUUACAAGAGGAAUCGUUGUAUAGUGAUUACAGCAAUCCCCAGAGUGAAUAUAACUCUCCAAUCCCCCAAACAUGAACCUAGACUUCAUGAAGGGUUAAACUAAUGUCAGCCACAACUGUCCUUAUUUGCAGGUCCCCAUGCAAGGGGGACUCCCCCUGGACCUAAGAGUAGACUACAGUAAAAACAUACGAUUACAUUGGCUCUUAGGUCCAGGACACUCCCAUACAAAAUAGAUCAAACCCUCCCCUGUGCCUUGGAGAUAAUUGAGUCAGCACUGUAUUAAACUCCAUUAUCUCCAGGCACAGAAUACAUACACUUAUACAAAACCCCAAAAAUACAUUUAAACACACAAAGGGUUACAAUCUCCUGAUAGCCUGAUUUUUGGAUAUGUUGGUCACCCAGAUCGGUUCAGGAAUUUCCUGGAAGUCAUAAUUUGACAGACCGCAUGCAUGGUCCCAUGCCGAAAAUAGUGCUAAGUGCCGCUGGGGACCGACCAGGAACCACAAAGUCUUUAUGCCGAAAAUAGUUCCAAUGCAUUAAUCCAGACCAUUAUGUGACUUUGUUCACAGACUGGAAUCAUACAGGGAUAAAAUGGUUCUCCUCCCACUGAACAUGAACACCUUAUCCCCAAGUGCUGGCAUAUAACUGGAAAAUAAACUACAGGUAGGUGUUAUUAUUUCCCCCCCCUCUAGUUCACAAAGAUAGGUAGUUGCAUACAGCCUGGGUUAAAGGAGAUAAACUAGGUGUGGUGUAUAUUGAACCCAAUUGUUCAAUACUUUAAUCACGAGUGACUGCAAAAUUUGCAAUUUUUUCCUAGUCUUCGUAUUUUCUUUUGAAAGUCUUAAAGGGACACUGUAGGCAGCCAGACCACUUCAGCUCAUUGAAGUGGUCUGGGUGCAAUGACCCCUGUCCCUUAACCCUGCAAUAG
rnacentral:lncRNA from 1 species